rnacentral:rRNA from 1 species
ACGUAGGAGACAAACGUUAUCCGGAGUUACUGGGCGUAAAGGGCGUGUAGGUGGUUUUGUAAGUCUGGCGUGAAAUUUUUCGGCUUAACCGGGAAAGGUCGUCGGAUACUGCCGGGCUGGAGCACUGUAGAGGCAGGUGGAAUUCCGGGUGUAGCGGUGGAAUGCGUAGAGAUCCGGAAGAACACCGGUGGCGAAGGCGGCCUGCUGGGCAGUGGCUGACGCUGAUGCGCGACAGCGUGGGGAGCAAACAGGA